UAACAAACAAUUAAACAAAACAAUGGUCUUUAUUUUCACAGUUCUUACAACUGACAGUGGGCGAUAUUCACUUAUCGCCCGGGACAUCAUGGCUACGAACAGAGAUGCAUGAUGAACGUGUUCUGUUCAUGUUCUGUUCAAAGCUUGUGCUCACGAGAGCCGUGUUCAUGUUCAAACAAUCUACACUGUUUGAUCACAGCGCGCUGUUCAUCUCAUGGCAACCGUGUUCGUUGUCAUUUGUUUUUCUCGGUGUAUGUUGGAAAGACAGAGAAAAAUCAUUGAUUCCUGGAUCAUGGAAUCUCCUGAAAAUUGAGCGUGUUAGAGUGCCCAAAAAUGGCGGGAUUCAAAAUGAUAUGCCUUGGAACGUCGACCCCAGAACCAUAUUUUGGAGUUUCCUCGAUAGACUUGGCUGCUGGUUAUAGUAUUCUGUCAAGGCGCGAAACAAAAUGAAUACACUUUUUCCAUUACUCAAAUAUUCCUGAAACAUUUCUAUAAACCAUUUGCCGAUCUGGAGACAUUUUUUAAACAUUCGAGGCAUUAUAGAAAAAUAAAACCGCUAUUCAGUUAUCGAUUGAA